rnacentral:rRNA from 1 species
GACGAACGCUGGCGGCGUGCUUAACACAUGCAAGUCGAGCGGUAAGGCCCUUUCGGGGGUACGACGAGCGGCGAACGGGUGAGUAACACGUGGGUGACCUGCCCUUAGCUCUGGGAUAAGCCUGGGAAACUGGGUCUAAUACCGGAUAUGACUCCAUGACGCAUGUUGGUGGGGUGGAAAGCCUUGUGCGGCUAGGGAUGGGCCCGCGGCCUAUCAGCUUGUUGGUGGGGUGAUGGCCUACCAAGGCGACGACGGGUAGCCGGCCUGAGAGGGCGACCGGCCACACUGGGACUGAGACACGGCCCAGACUCCUACGGGAGGCAGCAGUGGGGAAUCUUGCGCAAUGGGCGAAAGCCUGACGCAGCGACGCCGCGUGAGGGAUGA